UACGUAGGGGGCAAGCGUUGUUCGGAAUUACUGGGCGUAAAGGGCGCGUAGGCGGACAGUUUAGUCAGAGGUGAAAGCCCAGGGCUCAACCUUGGAAUUGCCUUUGAUACUGGCUGUCUUGAGUUCGGGAGAGGUGAGUGGAAUGCCGAGUGUAGAGGUGAAAUUCGUAGAUAUUCGGCGGAACACCAGUGGCGAAGGCGACUCACUGGCCCGAUACUGACGCUGAGGCGCGAAGGCGUGGGGAGCGAACGGG
rnacentral:rRNA from 1 species